GGAGGAGUCCUUUCUCUCUCCAUAGAUUUUGGAGCUCCUAGAAGUCUCUCUUUUUCAAUUCCUUCUUAAAUUUUAGCUAAGGAGGUAAUUUAAGGAGUCCAUUACAGAUGCCCGCAACCGAGCACUUCGGUUUGCCAUUUUCGAAGACUGGCAUUCGCUUCAACUAACUAUGGUCAGUGCACCGAGUAUCUGGCUUGGUUUGGUCAGUUUCGAUGAGAAACCAAUAGAGAGGAGUAUGGUGGCAAUCUCCAGAUGAGAGGCAAAUCGGCACAGUAAUCCAUCUCCAAAUCUCAAGAUCCGACCAGAUCUAGAGAUGGAUGAGAGAAAGAGCACCAAAGAUUAUGAAGUAAAGCAUCAAAGAAAAAUAAAAAGGAAUGGGACAGUUCUCUUAGACUUCUAUUAGAAUAUGCCACAAUAAGUGGUCAAAUAAUGUUCAAAUUUUGUAACUGAAUUAGAAACCAAUCCAUAUAAGAAAACAAACUCAUGUAUGAAAACAUUUCAGGACAGAAAUGGGAUUUUGAAAUUUGUGAUCCAUUCCUUCAAGCUGGAAAGAAAAGCCUUCCCUGGCAUCCAAAAUACAGUUCAGAAGCCAAAGGAAAUCAAGAGAACCCAAAACAAUACCUCCAGAGAACACAAUAGCUUAUGUGGUCAGCACUCUAGCCUAUGUGCACAGAAGAAAAUGAAGAAAAUCACAGUACAUAAGCUGCUCCAUCUCUCUCUAAAAAUAAGCCCGUUACAUCCAAAAAUUGGACUAUCUUUCUAAACCAUAAACCUAAAGUAAGAUCACGAGAUUAUAUAAAAACUGACUAUCAAAAAGGUUUAAAUCCAAUACAUCAGGAAUCCAGGAUAAUGUUGGAUCGGCAAGGGCAUAAGAUGGGAGUCAACGAAACGGGUAAUUUUCAUGACAUGGCAUUAGAAAAUAAUGAAGGUCAACUCAAAAGUGUUCUCAAAUUCAAAGAUAAAAAAGAUAUACUUAAGAGUAACACGUUAUCAACAAGAGAUCAUAUGUGCAACUUAAGUUCGAACAUGAGUUAACAGGCUAGUUUGUGUUUCAAAUUGAGGAAAAGCACUUAAUGUAGAUGUUGUAUAUGUAUAACUUACCCAAAAUUUUAAGUACCUAAUAAAUCAGACAUGCCGUUAACAUACACCAAGACUUAGAAUUCAACAAAUAAUGCAAAAAAAGAUAGUAUAAGUGGUCGAGCAUACCUCUGGAUUUUUCAUAAUUUACACGAGUUAAGACUGUCGCAGGAUCGUCAUCACAUUCUGCUCUAAUAUUUGCAAAUACGGCAUGAAGAGAACUCCUUUAGGUGAGGAUUUCGUAGAGAGAUUACCCCGUUGACUUCCUGAUUAUAGUGAAACCACACCCCACUCU
rnacentral:lncRNA from 1 species